rnacentral:rRNA from 1 species
GACGAACGCUGGCGGCGUGCUUAACACAUGCAAGUCGAACGGAAAGGCCCUGCUUUUGUGGGGUGCUCGAGUGGCGAACGGGUGAGUAACACGUGAGUAACCUACCCUUGACUUUGGGAUAACUUCAGGAAACUGGGGCUAAUACCGGAUAGGAGCUCCUGCUGCAUGGUGGGGGUUGGAAAGUUUCGGCGGUUGGGGAUGGACUCGCGGCUUCUAAGCUUGUUGGUGGGGUAGUGGCUUACCAAGGCUUUGACGGGUAGCCGGCCUGAGAGGGUGACCGGCCACAUUGGGACUGAGAUACGGCCCAGACUCCUACGGGAGGCAGCAGUGGGGAAUAUUGCACAAUGGGCGGAAGCCUGAUGCAGCAACGCCGCGUGCGGGAUGACGGCCUUCGGGUUGUAAACCGCUUUCGCCUGUGACGAAGCGUGAGUGACGGUAAUGGGUAAAGAAGCACCGGCUAACUACGUG